UCAGCGCCAUUGUACUACGCGCUCUCGCGAUAUGGCGACGCGGACAAAAACAAACGAAACGAGGGGGUGAGGGAUUCCGGUCGCGGUGACCCCUUCGCGUUGGUCUUCCCUGACCGCUGGAACACCUCUUCAAGGGCGUGAGUGUGUGUUGUGGACGCGCGCGAGGGCGGGUGGGGCGGUGCCGUGCAACGCAUACCUCACCUCCGCUCCUGUGCCCGCCUGCUGCUUGAGUCGCUCAUGUCGUGAAGAUGCACAUCUUUCGAGCAAACAAGCGAAAGAAACCAUCCCGUUUGGUAUGGAGCUGUAAGGUGUUGGAAUAGUAUGGUCCUGCACACGAAGACGUGGAAUGGCCCCAACAACAACCCCCAGGCCCCUGGAGGGAGUGGCGGCGAGGGAGCGAGCGUGGUUGAAGUAAUCCGCCGUGCACACACACCCGGGCCCAGCAUGAGUGAGGGCGCAGACGUCACCGCAGUCCAGCCGCCGCCCGACCCCUGCCCCGCCCCCGGGCCCGACUCCGCCUCCGCCGCCGCCACCGGCCCCGCGCCCGGCCUCGCGGAGGCCCCGUCGGGGCCCCGCGGCGGGAGCAGCCCAUGACCCCCGAGGGGUACAUCAUCUCCUCCGUCGUCCUGGCCAUCAUCGGCGUGGUGGGCUUCCUGUGCAACGGUGUCGUGCUGCUCAUCUACGUCAAGGACCGGCAGGUGAAUGAGGGUAGGGUGUAGCACACGGAUAAAACCAAAGAUUCUGUAGGAAAAAUUAGAUACAGUCAGAAAAUUGGUUUCUUGAAAAAGUUAAUUAUAUCAAAGGAUUUUUUUUACUAUAUCUAUAACUAUAAAUAGAUUCAAUUUCCAUUGAAUCUUUUUUGACAGACACUCUCAGUUUACAAACGGCAGUAUUCGUAUUCCGAAAAAUGUUGGUUUGUAACGUACUAAGGAUCUAAAGCAGCCAUAUUACGAAAGAUUUUCCUUCAUAUUACGAACAGUCCCUUUUCGUAAUACGAAAAGCCUCGUUUUUAAUACAAAACCUCGCUCUUCGUAAUACAAAGAAUUUGUUUGUAUUACAAAUGCUACAAAUCCUAUGUACGUUA